rnacentral:tRNA from 1 species
GUCUCGGUGGUCUAAAGGCUUAAGACGCUUGCACGGAAUGCAAGAGAUCCGGGUUCGACUCUCGGCCGAGGCA